CGUGCAGUCGAACGGAAAGGCCCUGCUUUUGUGGGGUGCUCGAGUGGCGAACGGGUGAGUAACACGUGAGUAACCUGCCCUUGACUUUGGGAUAACUUCAGGAAACUGGGGCUAAUACCGGAUAGGAGCUCCUGCUGCAUGGUGGGGGUUGGAAAGUUUCGGCGGUUGGGGAUGGACUCGCGGCUUAUCAGCUUGUUGGUGGGGUAGUGGCUUACCAAGGCUUUGACGGGUAGCCGGCCUGAGAGGGUGACCGGCCACAUUGGGACUGAGAUACGGCCCAGACUCCUACGGGAGGCAGCAGUGGGGAAUAUUGCACAAUGGGCGGAAGCCUGAUGCAGCAACGCCGCGUGCGGGAUGACGGCCUUCGGGUUGUAAACCGCUUUCGCCUGUGACGAAGCGUGAGUGACGGUAAUGGGUAAAGAAGCACCGGCUAACUACGUGCCGGCAGCCGCGGUGAUACGUAGGGUGCGAGCGUUGUCCGGAUUUAUUGGGCGUAAAGGGCUCGUAGGCGGUUGAUCGCGUCGGAAGUGUAAUCUUGGGGCUUAACCCUGAGCGUGCUUUCGAUACGGGUUGACUUGAGGAAGGUAGGGGAGAAUGGAAUUCCUGGUGGAGCGGUGGAAUGCGCAGAUAUCAGGAGGAACACCAGUGGCGAA
rnacentral:rRNA from 1 species